UAUAUACUCCCUCUGUUCGGAAUUACUUGUCGCGGGUAUGGAUGUAUCUAGAUGUAUUUUAGUUCUAGAUACAUCCAUUUCUGCGACGAGUAAUUUGAAACGGAGGGAGUAGGAU
rnacentral:pre_miRNA from 1 species